UUUCUAAAGCUAAAUAUUGGCCAGAGACCGAUAGCGCACAAGUAGAGUGAUCGAAAGAUGAAAAGCCCCUUGAAAAGGGGGUUAAACAGUACGUGAAAUUGUUGAAAGGGAAGCGCUCAUGACCAGACUUGUGCUGGGCAGCUCAUCCGGGGUUCUCCCCGGUGCAUUCUGCCCAGUUCAGGCCAGCAUCGAUUUUUGCUGGGGGAUAAGAACGGUAGGAACGUGGCCCUCCUUCGGGAGGGUGUUAUAGCCUACCGUACGAUACCCUAGCGGAGAUCGAGGUUCGCGCAUCUGCAAGGAUGCUGGCGUAAUGGUCAUCAGCGACCCGUCUUGAAACACGGACCAAGGAGUCGUCCAUUAGAGCGAGCGUUUGGGUGUAAAACCCGCACGCGUAAUGAAAGUGAAAUUAGGUGAGAGCUUCGGCGCAUCAUCGACCGAUCCUGAUGUUCUCGGAUGGAUUUGAGUAAGAGUUUUAACGGACGGACCCGAAAGACAGUGAACUAUGCUUGUAUAGGGUGAAGCCAGAGGAAACUCUGGUGGAGGCUCGCAGCGGUUCUGACGUGCAAAUCGAUCGUCAAAUAUGAGCAUGGGGGCGAAAGACUAAUCGAACUGUCUAGUAGCUGGUUACCGCCGAAGUUUCCCUCAGGAUAGCAGUGUUGACCUUCAGUUUUAUGAGGUAAAGCGAAUGAUUAGGGACUCGGGGGCGCUUUUUAGCCUUCAUCCAUUCUCAAACUUUAAAUAUGUAAGAAGCCCUUGUUACUUAGUUGAACGUGGGCAUUCGAAUGUAUCAACACUAGUGGGCCAUUUUUGGUAAGCAGAACUGGCGAUGCGGGAUGAACCGAACGCGGGGUUAAGGCGCCAGAGUGUACGCUCAUCAGACACCACAAAAGGCGUUAGUACAUCUUGACAGCAGGACGGUGGCCAUGGAAGUCGGAAUCCGCUAAGGACUGUGUAACAACUCACCUGCCGAAUGUACUAGCCCUGAAAAUGGAUGGCGCUCAAGCGUACCGCCCAUACCCCGCCCUCAGGGUAGAA
rnacentral:rRNA from 1 species